rnacentral:rRNA from 1 species
UACGUAGGGUGCAAGCGUUGUCCGGAAUUAUUGGGCGUAAAGAGCUCGUAGGCGGCUCGUCACGUCGGCUGUGAAAACCCGGGGCUCAACCCCGGGCCUGCAGUCGAUACGGGCGAGCUAGAGUUCGGCAGGGGAGACUGGAAUUCCUGGUGUAGCGGUGAAAUGCGCAGAUAUCAGGAGGAACACCGGUGGCGAAGGCGGGUCUCUGGGCAGUAACUGACGCUGAGGAGCGAAAGCGUGGGGAGCGAACAGG